AUGCAACUGACGAGUCCCGAAUAGGACGAAACACGCGUCCUGAAC
rnacentral:hammerhead_ribozyme from 1 species